AUUCCAGGAAUGUACUACCAAAGUUCUAUCAAUAUUUGAAUGUCCUGGACAUUUAGGGAACAUUCGGUGAACAUCUGAUUAAAUUAUUCCUGGAAUGUUACCAUAAGACAUUCUGUGAACAUACUACCAAUGUUCCUAUAUUUUAAGUUGCGAAAUAAUACAUACGUGUAAGAGAUACAACAUUACUUAUAACAUACCAGACAAACUAAGUGACAUUUUAGGCCUACAGUGCAAUAAUAUGUCAAAUUUAAAGAGUUUCCCAAGUUCAAUGAAUACAAUAUUAUAAACAUACAAAUGUAAUAAAAAUUAUUGUUCGCGAAUAUUCAAUUUGGAAUGCGAUUUUGUUAAUAAAAAAAAUACUUAUAACUUAUGCAAAACCCAAGCGAGGCAUUUAUAUUUAUUUCUUUUGCGUUCAUUUUCAAAUUCGCCGUGCAUAUAUUUUUGUGCAUGGCGCUUGAGAGGGCAUCACGUGACUAAAAACGACCAACCAACGACCUCGCUUCGGCCAUCUUGGCAUCUUCAUCUUGGCGACCUUGCCGUUGCCCGGCCUUGCCUUGCCGUGGAUUGUUGUUUGUAUUUUGUAUUAUUUGUGCUUUUUAAGAAUAUUUUUUUAAUUCGGAUACUUUUAUAAUAGCUUUAAUAGUAUUAUUAACAUAGUGCAUAAAAUGGUGUCCUGUUUUUAACGCAGUUGGAGUAGCAGAAACAAAUGUAGAUAAAAAAAUCUGCAGGAAUAACGUUUCAAUUAUGACAGAAGCUCAAAACAAAUGACUGUGAAUGAAAAGCCCUAUUAAAAGCUUUCCAGAAGAUCCUGCGAAGAAGACAAGAAAGUAUAGAUUAGAUUUGUUAAUAGAGGAGUAUGUUCAAAACACUUUUUAGAAAAAGAUAUUGACAGAACUUCACUUUCAUCUGUUCGUUUGAGAGACUGUGCUGUUCCAAUAGCUUAUGUCACACAGAAUCAGCUGAGAGAAGUGGUCUACAAAAAACCAGAAAGGAAACGGAAUAUGUGGCUACGAAAAGCAAAAGAAAGGUUUACAAAGCAAAUGUGACACAUUUUUUUAUAAUAUUUAGGAAUGUCAGCAAAUUACAUUAAAAAAUGUAUGUAAAGAUUUUUUGCAAUAAAAAUGUUUAUAUUUA